AUACGGAAGGCAGCAGUGGGGAAUUUUGCGCAAUGGGCGAAAGCCUGACGCAGCAACGCCGCGUGGAGGAUGAAGGCCUUCGGGUCGUAAACUCCUGUCGAUGGGGACGAAAGCCUCGCAAGAGGUUUGACUGUACCCGUUGAGGAAGCCACGGCUAACUCCGUGCCAGCAGCCGCGGUAAUACGGAGGUGGCAAGCGUUGUUCGGAAUUACUGGGCGUAAAGGGCGCGUAGGCGGCCUGACAAGUCAGAUGUGAAAGCCCCGGGCUUAACUCGGGAAUUGCAUCUGAAACUGUUUGGCUUGAGUUCUGGAUGGGGUAGUGGAAUUCCCAGUGUAGCGGUGAAAUGCGUAGAUAUUGGGAGGAACACCUGCGGCGAAGGCGGCUACCUGGACAGAAACUGACGCUGAGGCGCGAAAGCUAGGGGAGCGAACGGGAUUAGAUACCCGCGU
rnacentral:rRNA from 1 species